UAAUAUUUUGAUAUGACCCCUUUAUUUGGUUAUGAAAUGCAUCAUUCUAAGGAAGUGUAUAUAGGGUAAGGCAGGCCAUGUGAGGAGUAGUAUUAUUAUGGAGAAAAUGGGAAGGACAUUGAUGGUCCCUUUCCCUUGAAGAAAUCGGAAGCCAAUGCCCAUGUGAAUACAUAUUAUAUCGCAUUUUUGGGUGGGGAGGAAAAGAUGAAGCAACUAGUACUAGUAGUGGGAAGCGAAAUUGUUAUGGUUCGGAGAGUUAAUUUUUUAAGAUGUAUUUUGAUAGUUGAUUUAAUGGGUAAGAAUUAUUUUUGUCAUUUUUAAUUUGACAAUUGAAAUUUUAUUAGAGAUAUAACGGGAAUUAAAAAAAUAUUUUUUUUCUUUCAACUUUUUUUUCUUUUUCCUCUUUUUAUUCUUCUCUCGUAUACUAGAUAUAAAAAUGACAUAAUAAUGAUGUAACGAGGAUAGAAUAAUAUACAUAUGAAGGCGACAUAAUGAGCCUAUUAAAAGGAUAUAAUAAAGAACGCAUAACAUACUCGUAAAGUGUAUAUAUCACCG
rnacentral:lncRNA from 1 species